rnacentral:tRNA from 1 species
CUGUCAGGCGCGGUGGCCAAGUGGUAAGGCGUCGGUCUCGUAAACCGAAGAUCGCGGGUUCGAACCCCGUCCGUGCCUGAGACCCGAGGUAGGGCUUUGGCUGUGGGGAAGUCGGGUUUUCUCCACGUACGCCGUCCCUUCUACGUGGCAUUUUUUCCAUUUUCGGAUUCUGCUCAGUCGCCCUCCAGUUCGUCUCCUGCCCCGGGCUCCGCGGUCGGCGGGGGCCGGUGCACCUGGGC